AGCUUCAACAGUAUCUGAACAAUCAUUCAAUCAUGAUCAAUGUGACAAUAAAGCAAGUUGCAGAGGUCGACAAUCUCACAGUUUUGAAAGAGAAUAAGUCCUUGGAUGGUUAUCACACACUGCUAAACCUUACAAGUUACGGAGAGUCGCAACACACUUCUAACAACACUGUUUAUUUUCUUUUUACUUGGGUUAAUGACACUGCAGAUCAUAACACAAAAGGAAAGAUGGAUUCCAUCAGUACUGACGGUAAACAACGACUAGGAGUGUCCGAGGUAUCCACAAACAAUACAUUUUGCACUAAAAUGGUAAGCGCAGC